UAACAAUCGGUGAAAACUGUCAGUUUUUCGUAAAAUUUUCGUCGGUUUCCGGACUAUCAAUACCCCCAAAGAUACAAUACAGGUUAGGUUAUAGCGGGUUAUGCGACCGAUGUUCAGAAUCGUUUUCCGUUAGUGCGCUAAUAUAAAUCGUUGCGUCGGUUCGUCAUCGUUGCGCAUCACGGACGUAAAUCGAAUUGACUUUUAAAAACGAAUAACAUAAUUCUACGUGUAGGUGUUACAUACAACUUUAUAACAUUAUACCGUCAUC